UACAGAGGAGCCAAGCGUUGUCCGGAUUGACUGGGCGUAAAGCGCACGCAGGCGGUCUGGCGCGUGGGGUGUGAAAUCUGGCCGCUUAACGGCCAGGCGCCAUCCCAUACGGCCGGACUGGAGCCUUGCAGAGGUCGGUGGAAUUGCCGGUGUAGUGGUGAAAUGCGUAGAUAUCUGGAGGAACACCGGUGGCGAAGGCGGCAUCCUGGACCGGCAUUGACGCUGAGGCGCGAAAGCUAGGGGAGCAAACGGG
rnacentral:rRNA from 1 species